GACGAACGCUGGCGGCGUGCCUAAUACAUGCCAGUCGAACGCUGAAGCUUGGUGCUUGCACCGAGCGGAUGAGUUGCGAACGGGUGAGUAACGCGUAGGUAACCUGCCUGGUAGCGGGGGAUAACUAUUGGAAACGAUAGCUAAUACCGCAUAAGAGUAGAUGUUGCAUGACAUUUGCUUAAAAGGUGCAAUUGCCUCACUACCAGAUGGACCUGCGUUGUAUUAGCUAGUUGGUGAGGUAGCGGCUCACCAGGGCAACGAUACAUAGCCGACCUGAGAGGGUGAUCGGCCACACUGGGACUGAGACACGGCCCAGACUCCUACGGGAGGCAGCAGUAGGGAAUCUUCGGCAAUGGACGGAAGUCUGACCGAGCAACGCCGCGUGAGUGAAGAAGGUUUUCGGAUCGUAAAGCUCUGUUGUAAGAGAAGAACGAGUGUGAGAGUGGAAAGUUCACACUGUGACGGUAUCUUACCAGAAAGGGACGGCUAACUACGUG
rnacentral:rRNA from 1 species